rnacentral:rRNA from 1 species
GACGAACGCUGGCGGCGUGCUUAACACAUGCAAGUCGUGCGGUAAGGCCCUUUCGGGGGUACCCGAGCGGCGAACGGGUGAGUAACACGUGAGCAACCUGCCCUUCCCUUUGGGAUAACUGCCGGAAACGGUGGCUAAUACCGGAUCUGACUUCCUCACGCAUGUGGGGUGGUGGAAAGCCUUCGGGUGGUGGGGGAUGGGCUCGCGGUUUAUCAGCUUGUUGGUGGGGGGUUGGCCUACCAAGGCUUCGCAGGGUAGCCGUCCUGAGAGGGUGACCGGCCACACGGGGACUGAGAGAGGGCGCAGACGCGAACGGGAGGCAGCAGGGGGGAAUAUUGGAGAGUAGGCGAAAGCCUGAGCCAGCGAUGCCGGGUGAGGGAUGACGGCCUUCGGGUUGUAAACAUCUGUCGCCGUCGACGAAGCGAGAGUGACGGUAGCAGGUAAAGAAGCACCGGCUAACUACGUG